CUCGCCUGCCGCCAUGUAAACGUUCUUUGCUCCUGCUUCGUCUUCUGCCGUGAUUGUGAGGCCUCCCCAGCCAUGUGGAACUACUCAUCACUCACUGCAGAUGUUACUUUAAGACAUUCUGGAGCAGCGUCAUGUGCAGGUGAGUAGUGCCUCCUCCCAUCUCUCUUGCUCCUGGUCUCAUCGUGACGGGCCUGGUCCUGCCUCACUUUCUGCCAUGACUAAGAGCUCCCUGAGGCCUCUCCAGAAGCAGGUAUCACUAUGCUUCCUACACAGCCUGCAGAACCUUCUCUUGCCUGCCACCAUGUAAGAUAUGCUUUUACUCUUCCGCCUUCCACCGUGACUGUGAGGCCUCCCCAGCCAUGUGAAACUGCCUUUGAGCUUAUACUGAAUUAUACCACCAGCUUUCCUAGGUCUUGAAGCUUACAGACAGCAGAUCUUGGGACUUCUCAGGCACCAUAAUCAAUCAUAGAUAAAUGAUCCAAUGAUUCGGAACUUGAAAAGUGGUAGCUUUAUGAAUUCUCCUUAAGAAGAAACCUGUGCCCUGAUCUUGCCUACUCACCCAAAGGCACUGUGAGAUAGCAUCAAAGGAACAGCUAGUAAGAGACACAGAGCCAGAAAUCAGGGAAGUAAAAUACACUUGACAUCUACGUUCGGAAAGAAAUUUUAGGAGGCAGAAGCAAAUGGAUCAGAAGCUGCUUAUAUUUUUGCAAGAUUACCAAAGAAACCAUUGGUGGAGAAAGUUCUGUGACCAACUUGUCUGAGUCUAGUAAGAUUGAACGCUCACACACAAGUUUCAUGAAGUGGGUUUGAUACUUACAGAUAAGCAGCAAGGACCAACAGAAGCUGAUGAUCUAUGGUGAACUUUUUCCCAAGGCUCCGGAAAGCUGCCUAAAGUAGAUGGAGUCUUCUCUGUGUGUGCCCCACUGGUCCUGCAGUUGAAGGAUCCGGUAAAGCAGCCUGCCCUUGGUUUUAUACUCCAGAGGAACGUGAUUCGCUGGACUAAAGCAUUGAAGUGCAUCCUGUUUCCGGGGGGCACUGGAACAGAGCCUGGUCUGUUCUAGCCAGUCCCUUUCUAUCUCAGGAUAACAUUCUACAGUUAUUCUUGAGAACUAUAAUCAAAUAAGCAGGGAGAACUGGGUAAGUCCAAGGCUUAUCUAUACAAGCCUUUAAAUAUUCAAGACCAAAAAAAAAAAAAAAAAAAAAAAA
rnacentral:sRNA from 1 species